AAUAGAUACCCGGGUAGUCCACGCCGUAAACGAUGAGUGCUAAGUGUUAGAGGGUUUCCGCCCUUUAGUGCUGCAGCUAACGCAUUAAGCACUCCGCCUGGGGAGUACGGCCGCAAGGCUGAAACUCAAAGGAAUUGACGGGGGCCCGCACAAGCGGUGGAGCAUGUGGUUUAAUUCGAAGCAACGCGAAGAACCUUACCAGGUCUUGACAUCCUCUGCCAACCCUAGAGAUAGGGCGUUCCCCUUCGGGGGGACAGAGUGACAGGUGGUGCAUGGUUGUCGUCAGCUCGUGUCGUGAGAUGUUGGGUUAAGUCCCGCAACGAGCGCAACCCUUGAUCUUAGUUGCCAGCAUUCAGUUGGGCACUCUAAGGUGACUGCCGGUGACAAACCGGAGGAAGGUGGGGAUGACGUCAAAUCAUCAUGCCCCUUAUGACCUGGGCUACACACGUGCUACAAUGGAUGGUACAAAGAGCUGCGAACCCGCGAGGGUAAGCGAAUCUCAUAAAGCCAUUCUCAGUUCGGA
rnacentral:rRNA from 1 species